rnacentral:tRNA from 1 species
AGGGGGCUAUUUUAACUAAAAUAUUUGAUUUCGGCUCAAAAACUCUCGGUUAAAGCCCGAGGCCACCUC